UACGUAGGGGGCAAGCGUUUGUCCGGAAUCAUUGGGCGUAAAGAGCGUGUAGGCGGCUCGGUAAGUCCGCUCUGAAAGCCCGGGGCUCAACCCCGGGAGGCGGGCGGAUACUGUCGGGCUAGAGUCCGGAAGAGGCGAGUGGAAUUCCUGGUGUAGCGGUGAAAUGCGCAGAUAUCAGGAGGAACACCAAUGGCGAAGGCAGCUCGCUGGGACGGUACUGACGCUGAGAAGCGAAAGCAUGGGGAGCGAACAGG
rnacentral:rRNA from 1 species